UAAAGUAUACGGCGAUGCAGGGAAGAGUUUUCCCUCAAAUGCGGUCUAAAUCUCCUGUCAAAUCCUGUAGUUGGUCCUCUCCUCGGAAGAAAUUGACAGAAGGAUUCAAUGGUCAUCAAGAUUCAUCUCAGCACAGGUCUCCAGUUAUGUACAAGGAAGAUAGGGUGAGGACUUCUCCACGAACUUCUUUAACUGAAGAAGCAAUAGCUCCUCAAAGGCGUGACUCUCCAUCAUAUACUGCUCGUCGUCUGAAUUAUAUGAGGGAUGUGGAUGCUUUACAGGAGCAGAGGCAUCCGAGGUCUCUUUCUAGCAGAAGAAGUCCACCUAAUCGGGUAUUUACUAGAAGCAAUAGGAGAGUUGAGAAUUUAGAUCAUCGAGAGAGGGCUGAUGAUGAUGAGUACUUUGAUGGGACGAUACACACUGAUAAUUUAAACCUCGAAUAUAUUGGGAGGUAUGCAUUUGUGCAUGUUUUUGCUUCAAUCUUGUCGCUAGUAGGCCGUCCAAGGAACGUGCUUCUUGUCAACGCUGCCUGCAAUUUGAACUUCCAGAAGAUGAAAAUGAACUAGUUUAUGAUGCUCUACUACGCUGGAUAAAGCAUUUUAUGGUGUGAUAACCAACAAUGCGGUGAAAUUUGCAGUACUUAGGAUCGUCGACUUUGUUUGAUUCUUCAGGUCGCUUUGACUUAGGGAGUUCAAUGACUUGUUUGGCUAGCAGCUCGUCAAGAAUCCCAGGAACAUCAGAGUCAGGAAAAGGAUAUAUAUCCUUGCUUGUAACUCCUUCAAGGGUCAAAAAUAGGUGACGUCAUUCUAUGACUUGCAAUACUUAACUCCAUGUCAAGAGCGCGUAUAGCUAAUUCUUGAAAAGUUUGAGGCUUAAUUUCUUGGAGGAUAUUUACAAGGCCCCAAUGCAUUCCUUGAAUUCAAACUUCAACCGCCGAAGUUUCAGAAAGCUGAUCCUUGCAAUCAAAGCUCAAUGUUCGCCAGCUAUUUAUGUAGUUCACUACAAGCUCAUCUUUACUUUGUCUUGUGUUUUUCAACUCCAUCAUGCUGACCAUACGAUGAAAACGAUUUAAAAACUGACUUGCUAGUUGCUUCCAACAAUCAGUUGAUUUGGGCUCCAAGUCUGUGUACAAAUCAAAAGUGUUUCCUUUCAAAGUGCGAACAAACUGCUUGACAAGAAGAUCACUAUGUGUACCAGCACUGCUACAAGUCUCAACGAAAUGAGCGGGUAAAGUCGGGUGGAUAAGCAGAGUCGUGGUUCGAUUCUCCAGGGGGGAAGGACUCCAACUUGUUCAUCAGUUGAGCGAUAUGAAGAUCUUUUUCCUCGGCAGAUUUCUUUAAAACUUCAAUGGUUUGUUCCAUUACUGCGAACUUCUCAUUCAUAUCAGUUGCGUCGGCCAUCAAGGCAUUGACCUUUGUUGAAACUAGUGAAUCAGUCGAAUCUUCAAAUUCACUAAAAUUGACAUCAGUCUGAGAGAAUUCACCACAUAGCAAGGAUGUCAAAUUUCCCCUAAGAGCUGCAACUUCAGCCGUCAUAUGAGAUUUGCGCUUUUAUGCCUUCUCCAAAGAAGUGAAGUAUUCAAAUUUGUCCAAACCACAAGUCUUAAAUUUGCGCCGAGUGAGGGAACCAACUAGGCUGAGUUCAUCAGAGGUGGCAGUAGCAGAGUUCUUGCAUGAGACAUCGUUAGUAUUUUUGAAGUCCAUAGUAGUAGUUGAAUUUGAUUUGCAGGAAGAAGAUAUGGAGAGCUGAACUUGUCCCACUGGACGUGCCAAAAUAUGUUCGCAAUAAAUUUUCGUAGUAUUGAAAAUCGA